UACGAAGGGGGCUAGCGUUGCUCGGAAUUACUGGGCGUAAAGCGCACGUAGGCGGCUUUCUAAGUCGGGGGUGAAAUCCUGGAGCUCAACUCCAGAACUGCCUUCGAUACUGGAAAGCUCGAGUCCGGGAGAGGUGAGUGGAACCGCGAGUGUAGAGGUGAAAUUCGUAGAUAUUCGCAAGAACACCAGUGGCGAAGGCGGCUCACUGGCCCGGUACUGACGCUGAGGUGCGAAAGCGUGGGGAGCAAACAGG
rnacentral:rRNA from 1 species